GACAGAGGGUGCAAACGUUGUUCGGAAUUACUGGGCGUAAAGCGCGUGUAGGCGGCAGGGCAUGUCGGAUGUGAAAUCCCGUGGCUCAACCACGGAAGUGCACCCGAAACUGCCCAGCUUGAGUCUCGGAGAGGAAGGCGGAAUGCUUGGUGUAGAGGUGAAAUUCGUAGAUAUCAAGCGGAACACCGGUGGCGAAGGCGGCCUUCUGGACGAUGACUGACGCUGCGACGCGAAAGCGUGGGGAGCAAACAGG
rnacentral:rRNA from 1 species